GGGCCCUGGCUGGGAUAUCAUCAUAUACUGUAAGUUUGCUAUGAGACACUACAGUAUAGAUGAUGUACUAGUCUGGGUACC
rnacentral:pre_miRNA from 1 species